AACGAACGCUGGCGGCAUGCCUAACACAUGCAAGUCGAACGAGACCUUCGGGUCUAGUGGCGCACGGGUGCGUAACGCGUGGGAACCUGCCCUUAGGUUCGGAAUAACUCCCCGAAAGGGGUGCUAAUACCGGAUAAUGUCUUCGGACCAAAGAUUUAUCGCCUUUGGAUGGGCCCGCGUUGGAUUAGCUAGUUGGUAGGGUAAAAGCCUACCAAGGCGACGAUCCAUAGCUGGUCUGAGAGGAUGAUCAGCCACACUGGGACUGAGACACGGCCCAGACUCUUACGGGAGGCAGCAGUGGGGAAUAUUGGAAAAUGGGCGAAAGCCUGAUCCAGCAAUGCCGCGUGAGUGAUGAAGGCCUUAGGGUUGUAAAGCUCUUUUACCCGGGAUGAUAAUGACAGUACCGGGAGAAUAAGCUCCGGCUAACUCCGUG
rnacentral:rRNA from 1 species